AGCAGCCGCGGUAAUUCCAGCUCCAAUAGCGUAUAUUAAAGUUGUUGCAGUUAAAAGCUCGUAGUUGAAUUUCGGGGUCAGUAGGCUGGUCGUGCCACGGGUACGUACUGGUUUCACUGAUUCCUCCUUCCUGAGGAACCGUAAUGCCAUUAAUUUGGUGUUGCGGGGAAACAGGACUGUUACUUUGAAAAAUUAGAGUGUUUAAAGCAGGCUAACGCUUGAAUACAUUAGCAUGGAAUAAUGAAAUAGGACGAUCGAUCCUAUUUUGUUGGUUUCUAGGAUUGACGUAAUGAUUAAUAGGGAUAGUUGGGGGCAUUAGUAUUCAAUUGUCAGAGGUGAAAUUCUUGGAUUUAUUGAAGACUAACUACUGCGAAAGCAUUUGCCAAGGAUGUUUUCAUUAAUCAAGAACGAAAGUUAGGGAUCGAAGACGAUCAGAUACCGUCGUAGUCUUAACCAUAAACUAUG
rnacentral:misc_RNA from 1 species